rnacentral:lncRNA from 1 species
AGGAGGAACGCAGGGGCUGGGUCGCAUCCUCCCAUCUCGGGAAGCGUGGAGAGCGAGGGCUGCGAGGGACUCGUGCAACCAGCAGAAGGCGCUCCAAACUGACAGUUUGAGAACGAGGGCGAGCGCGGUGCCAACGCGCCUAUCCUGGUCUCCGCGUCUCACCCUCCACCCCUGAGUCUCUCAGGCUCUGCCUUUGCGUGGCUCUUUGGGUCUGUGACUCUCCAUCUGUUUUGCUCUACAAAUCGCCCGUUCUUGGUCUCUGGCCUCUCCCUGGACAGUUGAGUGACACCCCACACCCAGCCCCACCAGAUUUACAGAAAAGUUGUAAAGAGAGAGCAAAUACCUUGUAUUGAAGUGGAAAAAACAAAAGACAAAGCAGAGACCCACAGUUUCAAAGCUUGGCAGAGACUGACAGUCUCACGGCUGACAGGCUAAGGCCUGCCCCUCCUGCUAAAUUCACAAAGGUCACUGUGCCCAGAAGAUGAACUACUGAAACACAGCUGCCUGCCUCCCGAUGUCUUACAGAUAAACUGUAAAAGCAACAUUACCGCCGCCUCCCUACCCUUUGUUAAGUUCUGCUUCUGUAAAAUUCUGCUUGUUCCCCUGCCCUGCCUAAAGAGCAAGAUAAAAAUGAAAACAAACUUAGAAACGGGGCUCAGACUCUGGGAGGUGACUUCUGGUGGCCCCACUGGGGAAUCUGCCUGGCUUUCUUUCCCUUCAGUUCUCUGGGUGCUGCUCUCUUCCUUGGUCUGCCUGCUUCCGAGUGCCAUCUCAGUAUAACCACGGAGGAUUGAAUGAGUUCUUCAGUGGCACCAAGACGCCUUGGAAGAGGGAAUGAGAAAAGCGACUGACUCUGCCCUGAUGAAGCUGAAGACUAGACAUACAGCUCAGUGCAGCAUUUGUGGCCUAAAAUACCUGUGUGUUGUAUGUAGGGGAAGAAUUGUGUGGGGAACAUGGUUAUGGGCCCCAAGUCUGCAAUGAAUUCCAG